rnacentral:rRNA from 1 species
GGAAGUAAAAGUCGUAACAAGGUUUCCGUAGGUGAACCUGCGGAAGGAUCAUUGUCGAAUCCUGCCUAGCAGAAUGACCAGAGAACCAGUAACAAACUCAAUGGGGACGGUGGGCCUCGCCCAACGUCUCCAGACGCUCGGAUGGCACGGGUGCCUACGGGCGCUCGGGCUUUUUCUCGGCGGCACAACGAACCCCGGCGCGGAAUGCGCCAAGGAACUUUAACAAGAGAGCGAUGCUCCCGCCGCCCCRGACAUGGUGCGUGCGCGGGAUGCCAUGCAAUCUCCUAUUAUUCAUAACGACUCUCGGCAACGGAUAUCUCGGCUCUCGCAUCGAUGAAGAACGUAGCGAACUGCGAUACUUGGUGUGAAUUGCAGAAUCCCGUGAACCAUCGAGUCUUUGAACGCAAGUUGCGCCCGAAGCCUCGGCUUAGGGCACGUUUGCCUGGGUGUCACACAUGGCGUUGCCCCUAACCCCUCGCCUUGAAUUGGACGGGCGGGACUUGGGCGCGUACGUUGGCCUCCCGAGAUGACCUUAUCCCGGUUGGCCUAAAAUCGAGCGUCGGAGCGAUUAGCACCRCGACAUUCGGUGGUUGAUAAUACCCCCAAUGAUCAAUGUCGUGCGKGUCGCUCAUGCACAUGCUCCACGAAUCUACCUUUCACCAACGCGACCCCAGGUCAAGCGGGGCUACCCGCUGAGUUUAAGCAUAUCA